UACGUAGGGUGCGAGCGUUGUCCGGAAUUACUGGGCGUAAAGAGCUCGUAGGUGGUUUGUCGCGUUGUUCGUGAAAACUCACAACUCAAUUGUGGGCGUGCGGGCGAUACGGGCAGACUGGAGUACUGCAGGGGAGACUGGAAUUCCUGGUGUAGCGGUGGAAUGCGCAGAUAUCAGGAGGAACACCGGUGGCGAAGGCGGGUCUCUGGGCCGAAAUUGACGCUGAGGAGCGAAAGCGUGGGGAGCAAACAGG
rnacentral:rRNA from 1 species